CAAUAGCGUAUAUUAAAGUUGUUGCGGUUAAAAAGCUCGUAGUUGGAUUUCUGCUGAGGACGAUCGGUCCGCCCACUGGGUGAGUAUCUGGCUCGGCCUUGGCAUCUUCUUGGAGAACGUUGCUGCACUUGACUGUGUGGUGCGGUAUCCAGGACUUUUACUUUGAGGAAAUUAGAGUGUUUCAAGCAGGCGCACGCCUUGAAUACAUUAGCAUGGAAUAAUAAGAUAGGACCUUGGUUCUAUUUUGUUGGUUUCUAGAGCUGAGGUAAUGAUUAAUAGGGAUAGUUGGGGGCAUUCGUAUUUAACUGUCAGAGGUGAAAUUCUUGGAUUUGUUAAAGACGGACUACCGCGAAAGCAUUUGCCAAGGAUGUUUUCAUUGA
rnacentral:rRNA from 1 species